rnacentral:rRNA from 1 species
UAAAGAUUCAUCGCUGAUAGAUAGGCAUGCGUUCCAUUAGGCAGUUGGCGGGGUAACGGCCCACCAAACCGACGAUGGAUAGGGGUUCUGAGAGGAAGGUCCCCCACAUUGGUACUGAGACACGGACCAAACUCCUACGGGAGGCAGCAGUGAGGAAUAUUGGUCAAUGGGCGUAAGCCUGAACCAGCCAAGUCGCGUGAGGGAUGAAGGUUCUAUGGAUCGUAAACCUCUUUUAUAAGGGAAUAAAGUGUGGGACGUGUCCCGUUUUGUAUGUACCUUAUGAAUAAGGAUCGGCUAACUCCGUGCCAGCAGCCGCGGUAAUACGGAGGAUCCGAGCGUUAUCCGGAUUUAUUGGGUUUAAAGGGUGCGUAGGCGGCCUUUUAAGUCAGCGGUGAAAGUCUGUGGCUCAACCAUAGAAUUGCCGUUGAAACUGGGAGGCUUGAGUAUGUUUGAGGCAGGCGGAAUGCGUGGUGUAGCGGUGAAAUGCUUAGAUAUCACGCAGAACCCCGAUUGCGAAGGCAGCCUGCCAAGCCAUGACUGACGCUGAUGCACGAAAGCGUGGGGAUCAAACAGGAUUAGAUACCCUGGUAGUCCACGCAGUAAACGAUGAUCACUAGCUGUUUGCGAUACAGUGUAA